GGCCUCGUAGCUCAGUUGGCUAGAGCGUUGGCUGUCCUAAAGCCUUUCCCUUGCUGGCGUGGGUUCGAAUCCCACCGAGUCCA
rfam:Schistocephalus solidus strain NST_G2 genome assembly, scaffold: SSLN_scaffold0005614